ensembl:lncRNA
UGACAACAACAUGGUAGCAACACAACAUGACAACAACAUGGUAGCAACACAACAUGACAACAACACGGUAGCAACACAACAUGACAACAACAUGGUAGCAACACAACGUGGUUUGAUUGAUGACGUACCAUAACAAAUCAAGUUUCACUUUCAUUGUUUUCUUUGUGAUGAGAGGUGAGGUAGUUUAUAACAGUUCUUUGUGAUGAGAGGUGAGGUAGUUUAUACCAGUUCUUUGUGAUGAGAGGUGAGGUAGUUUAUACCAGUUCUUUGUGAUGAUAGGUGAGGUAGUUUAUACCAGUUCUUU